rnacentral:lncRNA from 1 species
UGGAAGGCUCUAGGGGAAUAAAGAUGGAAAGACUUCUAAUUUUUAGGUCCGUAUGAUUUGAAAUACUUGCACACAAACCGCACGAAAGCGUUCCUGGAAAUCUCAGCCUAAAAAGGAUGUUUAGUAAUUCUAAAAGGGACUACAAGAUGAAAAAUAAUAGUUUGGGCAGUUAAAAUUUGAGAUUCGACGAUGCCGUAGAUCCGUUUGGUCAUCAGGUGUUAUGAGCCACACCCAUGUCUAGCUAGAAUAGUGUGUUAGGCUCAGGCUAGAGAAGAAACGGGGAACAAACUGAUGAAAGAAUGAUCAUACCGAGGGAAUUCACUCAGAACUAACAAGAAUGAUAACGUGCUCCGACUGGAGCAGUUUAGAAACUGCUGGAAGGCUCUAAUGGAAUAAAGAUGGAAUGCCUUCAAAUUUCUAGGUCCGUAUGAUUUGAAAUACUUGCACACAAACCGCUCGAAAGCGUUCCUGGAAAUCUCAGCCCAAAAAAGGACGUUUAGUAAUUCUAAAAGGGACUACAGGAUGAAAAACAAUAGUUUUGGCAGUUAAAGUUUGAGAUUCGAUGGUGCCGUAGAUCCGUUUGGUCAUCAGGUGUAACGAGCCACACACAUGUCUAGCUAGAGUAGUGUGCUAGGCUCAGACUAGAGAAGAAACGGGGAACAAAGUGAUGAAAGAAUGAUCAUACCGAGGGAAUUCACUCAGAACUUACAAGAAUGAUAACGUGCUCCGACUGGAGCGCUUUAGUAACUGCUGGAAGGCUCUAGGCGAAUAAAGAUGGAAUGACUUCUAAUUUUUAGGUCCGUAUGAUUUGAAAUACUUGCACACAAACCACGCAAAACCGUUCCUAGAAAUCUCGGUCGAAAAAAGGACGUUUAGUAAUUCUAAAAGGGACUACAGGAUGAAAAACAAUAGUUUUGGCAGUUAAAGUUUGAGAUUCGAUGGUGCCGUAGAUCCGUUUGGUCAUCAGGUGUUACGAGCCACACCCAUGUCUAGCUAGAGUAGUGUGCUAGGUUCAGACUAGAGAAGAAACGGGGAACAAA